UACGGAGGGUGCAAACGUUGUCCGGAAUUACUGGGCGUAAAGAGCAUGUAGGUGGUUUUGUAAGUCAGCGAUGAAAGACCGACGCUUAACGUCGGAACCGUUACUGAUACUGCAUAACUCGAGGUAGACAGGGGUAAGCGGAACUUUAGGUGUAGGAGUGAAAUCCGUAGAUAUCUAAAGGAACACCAAUGGCGAAGGCAGCUUACUGGGUCUAUUCUGACACUGAGAUAGCGAAAGCGUGGGGAGCGAACGG
rnacentral:rRNA from 1 species